UACGUAGGGGGCGAGCGUUGUCCGGAAUUAUUGGGCGUAAAGAGCGUGUAGGCUGUUCGGUAAGUCUGCCGUGAAAACCUGAGGCUCAACCUCGGGCGUGCGGUGGAUACUGCCGGGCUAGAGGACGGUAGAGGCGAGUGGAAUUCCCGGUGUAGCGGUGAAAUGCGCAGAUAUCGGGAGGAACACCAGUAGCGAAGGCGGCUCGCUGGGCCAUACCUGACGCUGAGACGCGAAAGCGUGGGGAGCGAACAGG
rnacentral:rRNA from 1 species